AUUGAACGCUGGCGGCAGGCCUAACACAUGCAAGUCGAACGGCAGCACAGAAGAGCUUGCUCUUUGGGUGGCGAGUGGCGGACGGGUGAGUAAUGUCUGGGAAACUGCCCGAUGGAGGGGGAUAACUACUGGAAACGGUAGCUAAUACCGCAUAACGUCGCAAGACCAAAGUGGGGGACCUUCGGGCCUCACACCAUCGGAUGUGCCCAGAUGGGAUUAGCUAGUAGGUGGGGUAAUGGCUCACCUAGGCGACGAUCCCUAGCUGGUCUGGGAGGAGGACCAGCCACACUGGAACUGAGACACGGUCCAGACUCCUACGGGAGGCAGAAGUGGGGAAUAUUGCACAAUGGGCGCAAGCCUGAUGCAGCCAUGCCGCGUGUAUGAAGAAGGCCUUCGGGUUGUAAAGUACUUUCAGCGGGGAGGAAGGCGGCACGGUUAAUAACCGUGCCGAUUGACGUUACCCGCAGAAGAAGCACCGGCUAACUCCGUGCCAGCCGCCGCUGUAA
rnacentral:rRNA from 1 species